rnacentral:lncRNA from 1 species
CAAAGUUCUGUGAAAACCCCUGCAUGAACUGGGCCCCUGACUCCAGGAAAACAGAGGCAUCUUCCAAUGUCCUUGGAGCCAUGAGACCCCGAAACACCUACCGGGAACAGAGGGGCUUCACCCAGACAGGCCCCACCAGGGAGGAGGAGGCCGCUCUCCCUCCCACCACCGUUGUCGGGGGUGACCCGAGGUGUUCCAGAUGAGGAGCUGAAUCACUGGGACUUAAGUCAAUAAGUGGCAGCCACCAGGCAGGCCCAGCUGGAGCCAAACCAAGGCCUGGAUUCUCCUCGUGGAUGUCUGGCACAGCAUGAGCCCUGAUGUGCGCUUUCUGCUCCUGCUCCUGCUCCUGCCCCUUCGGAGGCCUGUGCCAGUGGCAGCUGGGCCCGGAGACACCAGGCCGGCACUGCUCUCUUUCGAGGCACCCGUGUUUGUGCCGACGCUGACUCCCGGUUGUCUGCAGCAGCCACGUGGCCGAAAUGGAGCCUCUCCACGGGGGCUCCUUCCCCAGCCCCUGGAUGGCACAGCAGCCUCUCCUGUCUGUCACCACGUGUGACCUGCUCCCUUAGUCUUCAGCCGCUCAUCCACGUCUGCAGGGGCAUCUAACUCUGUCCCAGGGUAUCCCAGACCCUGGCUCACGCCCCAGGCUCUCCAUUCAGGCUCCAUCGUCCACCUCAGACCAUCUCGGGUUUGCUGGUCUUCUGGACUAGCGCAGCCAGAAAGAACCCAGGAAGGAAGCCUCACGUCUGACACAAGAACCUUCGGUGCUAACCCGAGGGCGGUAUGUGCAUCCUCAGCACCUGCCCAUCCGGCACCAUCCUCUGAUCCAGGGACUGUGAGCAACAGGGCCCCGUGGCCAGGACAUCUCUCACCCUCCAGUUAAAAUCUCGCCAGUUGAGUCUGCCCAUGAAAGUAGGCGCUGAACUGCCCAAUAAAUCCACAAGUAAGAGUUGCAAGAAGGAGCCAAAAAGGGCUGAGCUGAAUGACUCAUAUAUGAAAUAAUUUGAUAAUUAAUAUAAAUAGGAAAUUUAAAGUCUCCAGCUGAGUGACAGAAAACACCUUAAAAAGCUCAAGAGAGAGGAAAGGAAGAAAAUAAACCUAUAAUUGCAAAAUAAAAGCAUUGAAAGAAGCCGUGCUCAAGGUCUGCCUCUGCCUUUGCUCCUGCUAUCCCCAGGGCCCCAGGUGCCCCUCCCUCCACCUCAUCCUUCUGGACCCAGCAAAUGUCCUCCACCAGGAGGCCUUUCUGGACCUCCUCAUCCUCCUGGAAGGAGCCUCUCCCACCCCGAAGUCCUUUAACUAUUUACUUGUCCCUCUCCUUCGUACUGAGCUUAUGCUGUAUUUGUUUAUGUGCUUAUCUUCUACUGGGCUCAUCUCUGUAACCUUUUUAUUCUUUUAUUCAUUCAUUCCACAAAUACUAAUUGAGCACCUACUAUGUGCCAGACCCCAUGCUAGGACUGGGGACACAAUGAUGAGCAAGACAGACACUGUCCCUGCCACCCUGGAACUCCCAUCUUGGAGAGAAACAACAAAAACAAAACACGAAGCAAAUAAACAUUAGUAAACACGUCAGGAUAAGCGGCGAUAUAGGCUGGGAUAGAAAGGUGUAGGUGAUGUGAGAGGCGAGUGUCCGUGCGGACAGAGGAGCUGGGGGAGGAGACUCUGAG